rnacentral:rRNA from 1 species
ACACCCUACGGGAGGCAGCAGUGAGGAAUAUUGGUCAAUGGGAGAGAUCCUGAACCAGCCAAGCCGCGUGAGGGAAGACGGCCCUAUGGGUUGUAAACCUCUUUUGUCGGAGAACAAAACCCGGGACGAGUCCCGGACUGCGUGUAUCCGAAGAAAAAGCAUCGGCUAACUCCGUGCCAGCAGCCGCGGUAAUACGGAGGAUGCGAGCGUUAUCCGGGUUUAUUGGGUUUAAAGGGUGCGUAGGCGGGCUUUUAAGUCAGCGGUAAAAAUUCGGGGCUCAACCCCGUCCGGCCGUUGAAACUGGG